AUGGACCCGGGCGUGCAGCGGCCGUCGCGGGCCCCCGGAGCCGGGCACAAAACAGUCCCACAGCAGCCGCCCAGGCACUCGGCGGUGACCACUGCGCAGACCGGACUUUCGCUCGCUCGCAACUCACUCUGCUUGCUCUGCAACCGUGUCUGACAAACCCGAUAUGGAUGAGACUGAGAAAUUCAAUAAGUCGAAGUUGAAGAAAACAGAAACGCAAGAGAAAAAUCCACUGCCUUCAAAAGGAACGAUUGAACAGAAGAAGCAAGCAGGUGAGUCGUAA